UUUGUCUUUGAACAUGUGACCUGUAAGGAAGGCUGCUGAACACAGUGGAUGCCCGCCACCCUACUCCUGGGCGCACUGACCAGCCCAGGAGUGCAGGAGCCUGUGUUCCGCCAGACUUCAAGUGGCCGCUGGGCUCAAAAGCAAUGGACUGACAGGUCAGGGACUGAAACCCCUGAAACUUGAGCCAAAAGAAGAAUCCCCACCGCUUUUUAAGUUGAUUUUCUCAGUACCUGGCAAUCCAAGAGGAAAGGGACUCAGGCCAGGAAGAAGAGCUUAUGCAAAGCUGUGGUCACAGGAGGUGGCAAGGAACUACAGGAGGUCCAGGUGACUGCACAGACAGCCCCGGUCUCCUGGCGUGCGCCCUGGGAGUUGUCACCGUCUGGAGCCCACGGGGUCGCCUGUCUGCAGCAGUGGUAACAUCACCUGGCUGAGGUCAGCUGCUCCCUGCCUUGUCCUCCUCAGCAUGUCUCCGACAGUGCCACGUGCAUGUCCGUACCCUGGCCCUCGCCUCCUGGCUGCCUUCACUUAGGAAACAAACGUCCAGUGCUGACCCCAUAGCCCCAGAAGCUGAGGAUUUUGAUGGACUCAGGUUAAGCUACUGUGGAAACACUGGCUCUAUCUGGGAUCUGGAGCGUCCCCAAAGGGCCAGGAGUCAAGGGCUUGGUUCCCAGCUCAGCGCGCUGGGAGGUGGAGGAGCUGCUGGGAGGCUUUAGGUCACAGGGGCUGUGCCCCUGAAGGAGACGGGGACACUGGCCUCCUCCUCUCUCUCCCAUUUCCUGACUUCCCUGCCAUGAACAACUUCUCCACCACAUGCCCCAUCAGGAGGCACGGCCUUGCCCCAGGCCCCCAACAACAGCUGACAGACCAUAAAUUAAACCUCCCACACUGUGAGCCAAAACAAACCUUCCCUCUUGCUAA